GAACGCUAGCUACAGGCUUAACACAUGCAAGUCGAGGGGCAGCAUGGUCUUAGCUUGCUAAGGCCGAUGGCGACCGGCGCACGGGUGAGUAACGCGUAUCCAACCUGCCUUACACUCUUGGACAGCCUUCUGAAAGGGAGAUUAAUACAAGAUGUUAUCAUGAGUAAGCAUUUUCGCAUGAUUAAAGGUUUACCGGUGUAAGAUGGGGUUGCGUUCCAUUAGAUAGUAGGCGGGGUAACGGCCCACCUAGUCUUCGAUGGAUAGGGGUUCUGAGAGGAAGGUCCCCCACAUUGGAACUGAGACACGGUCCAAACUCCUACGGGAGGCAGCAGUGAGGAAUAUUGGUCAAUGGACGAGAGUCUGAACCAGCCAAGUAGCGUGAAGGAUGAAGGUUCUAUGGAUUGUAAACUUCUUUUAUACGGGAAUAAACGAAUCCACGUGUGGAUUUUUGCAUGUACCGUAUGAAUAAGGAUCGGCUAACUCCGUGCCAGCAGCCGCGGUAAUACGGAGGAUCCGAGCGUUAUCCGGAUUUAUUGGGUUUAAAGGGAGCGUAGAUGGGUUGUUAAGUCAGUUGUGAAAGUUUGCGGCUCAACCGUAAAAUUGCAAUUGAUACUGGCAGUCUUGAGUACAGUUGAGGUAGGCGGAAUUCGUGGUGUAGCGGUGAAAUGCUUAGAUAUCACGAAGAACUCCGAUUGCGAAGGCAGCUUACUAACCUGUAACUGACAUUGAUGCUCGAAAGUGUGGGUAUCAAACAGGAUUAGAUACCCUGGUAGUCCACACGGUAAACGAUGAAUACUCGCUGUAGGCGAUAUACAGUCUGCGGCCAAGCGAAAGCAUUAAGUAUUCCACCUGGGGAGUACGCCGGCAACGGUGAAACUCAAAGGGAUUGACGGGGGCCCGCACAAGCGGAGGAACAUGUGGUUUAAUUCGAUGAUACGCGAGGAACCUUACCCGGGCUUAAAUUGCAACCGAAUAUGGCGGAAACGCUAUAGCUAGCAAUAGCGGUUGUGAAGGUGCUGCAUGGUUGUCGUCAGCUCGUGCCGUGAGGUGUCGGCUUAAGUGCCAUAACGAGCGCAACCCUUGCCGAUAGUUACUAACAGGUCAUGCUGAGGACUCUGUCGGGACUGCCAUCGUAAGAUGUGAGGAAGGUGGGGAUGACGUCAAAUCAGCACGGCCCUUACGUCCGGGGCUACACACGUGUUACAAUGGGGGGUACAGAGGGCUGCUACCACGCAAGUGGAUGCCAAUCCCAAAAACCUCUCUCAGUUCGGAUUGAAGUCUGCAACCCGACUUCAUGAAGCUGGAUUCGUUAGUAAUCGCGCACCAGCCACGGCGCGGUGAAUACGUUCCCGGGCCUUGUACACACCGCCCGUCAAGCCAUGGGAGCCGGGGGUACCUGAAGUGCGUAACCGCAAGGAGCGCCCUAGGGUAAAACUGGUGACUGGGGCUAAG
rnacentral:rRNA from 1 species